AAAACACCAAUUCAGUAGUCUAUGGGUUAUUCUCUGCCAAGUUUAAGCAAAAAUGUAAAUAAGUGAAUACAUUUCAACAAAUGACACAAGGCAGGUCAGUAAAAUACAUUUAUUGACAGUAAAAUUUCAGUCAUCUAAAUGGUUUUCAUUGUACAUAAAAAUAUCAAAAUACUUUACAGGAAUCCUUAAAAUCUAAAUAUUGGCAAAUUCAUCUUGAAUAGUUUCCUUAAAGAAGGAAAAGUGACGUUACAGAUCCUAAAUCUUUAGAUGAAGUGCCUUUUUUGCCGUUUUCAGCCUUCUUUAAAUGAAAUCGAUGCACAUGUAACAUAUGCAUAGUCUAAUCAUGACCUUAUCGUGGUUACCAUGGUUAUCGGCAUUUAAUGCUAAUCAUGACCCAACAUGGAUUCAUUUCUUCUGAACUUAAUUUAGACAGCUAUUUUAAAUAUGUGUAAUACAAAGGGGUACAUAAAACAGCAUACAUUACAUGUAUUAUUACCAAAUAUAUAUAUAGUUACCAAAACCUAAAAGCUUGCAAAGUGUAUUUCUGUUUACAAUCUGUACUCAUAAAAAAACAAAGAGAGAAACAAACAAACAAACAAAUAACAAAAAAUCCUUUGGGCCAUGAAGCCCCAGUGCAACAUGGGAGGGAUUCUUAUUUCCCUCCAGUUUUACUUCAUUCUCUUUACUCGUGGGUACUUAUCAAAACAUUUCAUAAACCAUUAAACAGUUUCCCAACAUGCUUUGCUUCACGUAGUCAGCACUUAAUAUCAUCACUAACAAAAACAGUUAACUAUGGAAGGUAUAUAGGACCUAGUUUUCUGAUAUUUACCCAUCCCUUAAUAAAAACCUCACAGUCUCCAACCGUCAUCCAAUGGGAACAGUGAGAAGUCUAAUCUGGGGUGUUCAUUAAGACAGAAUGAAUAGGAAAGAAAAAAAACAGGUAAUAUGUUGAAUUUCUGCAUUCGGCAGGGACUGCAAACUAGCCUGGAUGAAUGUACACAAAUGUAUUACUCUCACUAGGCUAGGUUUUAAGGCAACAGAGAGAGAGAGAGGGAGAGAGAGAAAGUGAGCCACUGGGGGGGGGGGGGGGGGGGGGGGGGGGGGGUGACGUAAGAGGGCUCCUUAAAACAGCAACACAUCAACGGUCACAUUGCUUAUAGCUGUUCUCUUCUAAAACAAAAAAUUAAAAUAAAAUGAAAAAGAAAUGCGGCUCAUUAACACCCUUUUAGUGCAACCAUGGGGAAAGUUUGGAUUCAAUUUCCAAAAACAUCUGCUUCAAAAACAAUGGCCCGACUCAGAAAGACCAACUGUAGAUGAAGACAUCACACAUUAGAGGGGGUCUAGCACUGUGAACCAUCACAUGACACCAUAUUUGUGAUGGUGGGUAAAUUGCACAUACCUCUUCCUACUUGGUUGAGUACUCACAUCAAUCUUUUGUGUCCAGUCAAAAAGUUACAGAAAACAAACUUGAAAUGGUCUUCUGGAUGUUCUAAAACUAUAAUUAGCUGUAAAAGAAAUGUGAAAUGAUUACGCCGUAUUUAUUAGUGACACAGUUAGACGCAGCAGCUGGUGAGGUGAUUCACGCGUUAUGCUGCUGGAAAUGACUGAGAGUGAAAGGAGACCAUUUUACUUGUCUAAUUUAAGCAUUCCCUUUGUCACCAGGGCAACAGAGAACGGAAUUCUGACAAAGACUAAGUCUGAAUGGGAACGAGAUAGCACUUCAUUUCUAGACAUUAGAUUUACCCUGUCCUGUGUGAGGGUGCCUUUAUACACGUCUGUGUGUCACACAUAUAAUGUGUGUGUGUGUGAGGGACCAGGCCAAACACACAAUGUCUACACAAAGAAUACAAUGAACAUCAAACAAAAUAACAUUCAAAUUAAAAGUGUUAGAAGUGUCUCUUUUUUUAAGGGAGCAUGCUGCAAAUAUAUAUAUAUAUAAAACAAUAGAAAGUGUCAAGUCAAAAGUACUUGCAAGACUUUGGUUGAAAACGUCACUAGCAAGUACAAUCAUAUGAAUAUUAUUCUUUUAUUUCUCUCUACUACAUGUAAGUCUCAUAGAAAUGGGACAGGCUCAAAUCUCUUCAUUCCACAGCCUCUACAAGCUGUAAACUGCUAUCAGUGUACCCGAUACACAGAGCAAAAAAAAAGAAAGAAAGAAAGAAAAAAGGAUGAAUUACUUUGGACUUUUACGUGAAUUUAUCACAAACAUUAAGGCAUCGACUAAGCUGCUCAAAGACAACUAUAGUCAGUCAGUCAAUUUAAAACAACAUCCUAAUGAAAUGACCACUGAAUAACCAUAGCAGUAAAAGAAACAUUUAACACCUCAUAAAAGUGUGCAAAACAUCCAUUAUAAAUCACUACCUAAUCCCUAGUCUCCUAAUUAGUACCACACCUUAUUGGAUAAGGUACGCCUUAUUGGCUAAAAGCUGCAUAUUAGCACAAUAUACACUGCUGUACAUAUGGGUGAUCUUUAACGAGACUUUGCUCGGGGCUUAUUUUUUUUAUUUACACAGGUUUUAAAAUCGGAAGUGUGUAGUUCAUUUGAAUCUCAGUAGGGGCUUGGUUUUUAAAAGAACCAUUAACAAGUGCGGUCCUCGAUUCUAAUCCCAUCCACUUUUUGUCCAAUUCUGCCAAUUGCUUCUCACAGCCCUCUAGCUGUCUGUUCAGUGUUUGCGGUAAAUUUUUUUAAUUUGGUGUUCGUACACAGUCCAGACUCUGUCAAUGGGAAAUAAACAUAGUGGUUCGGACCGAACCAUAAACAAUCCCAGUUUAUGAGUGCAAAUAUCAACAUUUGCAAAACCGAAGCCGAAUCAUGGACUGCAUCUUAAAACCGAGAGAAAAUCUAUGUGUUUAUGCAUCGUUUAGGCUAUUGAGGGGGGCCUGGAGUUUUUGUCAACAUUUGUGUUUGUUGCGUGGGGGGCCCAUGCUAACAUGUAUGCUUAAGCAAGUUUACAUGAAAGAAAAAACAUAUUUUUGACACAGUAUUGGAUAACCUAUGAUAAAUCCAUAACAGUGUCAAGGUGACAUGAAUGCGGUCACUGUCACGUUUCAUAUUUUGAAACAAAUUCUCAAACGUUCUCUCACCGAUCUCAAACACUCUGACCAGCACACGGGACGAAGCAACUGCCAGUGUGCACAAGGGUUGAAGUGGAGUCGAGGGAGAGACGAGGUUCCUGGAGGAAGACAGUCUCAGACUGGAUUGGAGAAGGAAGCGGCGUCUGCGUCACAGUCAUCAUCCUCAUUCUCAAGCACAGUAUUUUCUACUACGACAAACAACCACGACUAACAAGAAGAGCCAAGUGCUAACGAGUCCAGGCUUCUUCCACAGGGGGCUUUGGUGAGGCUGGAAGACAGGGCGAGAGCUCUGGGGUCUCGGAAAAUGUCAGAGUCCACUACAAGCUGAGCUGGAACACCACCAGUAUCAAUGACCAGAGUCUCUAGUUAAAAAAAUAUAAUAAUAGUAAUAAUAAUAACAACAAUAAUAAUAAUAAUAAUAAUAAACAAACCGACAAAUAAACAAAUUAGUGCAAACUGAGAUAUAUAGAUCAGACCAUCACUGUUCUCCUGAAAAAAAGCUGCCUAUGUGUUUUUGCCUAUAAAAAAUACAGAUAAUAAAGAAAACGAUAGAACUAACUACAACUCUAUCUUCAGAUCUGACCCCUGAAGUCAGUGCCAUAAUACAUUCACUGAGAAAAAAGACGAGUGAAGAACGGGAAGAAGAGAGAGGAGGAAGGAGUCGACUAUUCCAGGCAGAAGGAAGGAAGUGAGGCAAGACCGGGUGGGACGGGUGAUGGGACGGACGUUUUCCCAUUGGGCGGACAUCGUCAGCUAGGUUAGGAAGUGAUGUCAUCCGUUCUUGUCCCCUCCCUUGUCUCCCACCGACUGAAAGAAACGACAAAGCUUGUGAGAUGCACAGCUGCUCUACCACACCUUUAUUGAGUAGCAAACACACUCUACCAUACCCUAAGUAGUAGCAAACAUACAGAGGACAGGGUCCUUAUAUACUGUAAGUCUUUCAUCACCCACUACUCUCUGAUGAUUUAGGAGGCUCCAAGGAUAAUGGAUUCCCUCACCCCGCGUGUAACUAACUAGCCUUAGACUGAACAACACCGUCCCCAUUCCCAAGACAAGUUCCCAGGUGACUGCAGGACUGCAGGUGACUGCAGAACCGAGGCAGGUGCUGUUUGCCUUCCCCUUUGACUUGGGUCACCAGAAGAAUAUCUAAGGGUCUCCCCUGGGUCUCUGAAUGAGGAGCACAAACACAAGGUACUGUAUGUACACCUGGCAGUACUUUACAGACACACACUGACGCCAUUCUUUUCCACCGGUGUGGAAACUGAGCCCGUGAGUCUGGCACCAGUGGGCUCAAUGGGAGCAUCAGUCCCGUACGGAAGCUGACCGGUGACGGACCUGGUUCAGAGUCAGCUGGUUUCAUUUGUGGAAACUUUAGUGUUGAGGAAAUUUAAAGGAAGGUCGGUACGUAGCUGUGUCUGUUGUACUGCACAGUGCUUUUCGUUUUUUUUUUUUUUGCUGUUCAUUCCACUAUACCUUCUGAGGCCAGCUGGGAUAUUCUCUUGGCAUUUGGUAAUGGCUGCUGCUGCGUAAAGCCAUGGAUCUCCAAGCUAUUUGUUAGGAUAGCUAAAUAUGAAAUCCAGCCUUUACAACAAGAACAAGCCAGUAGGGCAAAAUUAACAUCACACACAUCAUUGAGAGCAGAAAAACAAAAAUAAUAAAAUGCUACAUUUGCUAUGGCUUCUGAAAGUUGGAAGAACAAGCUAUGUUGCCAUCACAGUCGUUUCAGUUACGUUCUCUUAAUUUAGUCUGAUGGUCUGAUCCUUUCAUGAUCCUAACUCUUCAUGAUUCUUUUCACAUGCUUGAGUCUCAGUGCUGUUUCAUCAGCAGCUAUUUUUGCAACCUGGAAAGUGGCCUUUAGCAUUUGAUAGCACCACAAGCUAACAGCUAGUCAUAGGUGCCUAUCUACAGCUAAAACUGGAGCGCCGGCUACCCUAAAAGAUAAAAGUGGACCUACGGCCUUUAGCAUUUGAUAGCACCACGAGCUAACAGCUAGUCACAGGAGUCUAUCUACAGCUGAAGCUGUGAGAGGGGAGGAUGUGGCUACGUACGCCUGGCUUGUGGAGGGAGUUCUCCUGCAGGCCGAAGAGCGCGCUCCCCUGGUUGGCCUGCAUGGGGGAGGCGUUGGCCUGGGGCAGCAGGCCAGGGGACGGGCUAAUGAGGGGGGCGCAGGGGGCGGAAGAGGGAAGGGAGCCCCCGAGGGACAGGCGCUGGAGGUCACGCUGCCGCUGCUGCUGCUGCUGCUGCUGGAGAAUCUGGUACACCAACAUCUGCUGC
ensembl:lncRNA